rnacentral:rRNA from 1 species
GACGAACGCUGGCGGCGUGCUUAACACAUGCAAGUCGAACGGUAAGGCCCUUCGGGGUACACGAGUGGCGAACGGGUGAGUAACACGUGGGUGAUCUGCCCUGCACUUCAGGAUAAGCCUGGGAAACUGGGUCUAAUACCGGAUAGGACUCCGGACUGCAUGGUCUGGGGUGGAAAGCUUUUGCGGUGUGGGAUGGGCCUGCGGCCUAUCAGCUUGUUGGUGGGGUGAUGGCCUACCAAGGCGACGACGGGUAGCCGGCCUGGGGGGGUGACCGGCCACACUGGGACUGAGAUACGGCCCAGACUCCUACGGGAGGGAGCAGUGGGGAAUAUUGCACAAUGGGCGCAAGCCUGAUGCAGCGACGCCGCGUGAGGGAUGACGGCCUUCGGGUUGUAAACCUCUUUCAGCACCGACGAAGCGCAAGUGACGGUAGGUGCAGAAGAAGGACCGGCCAACUACGUGCCAGCCGCCGCGGUAA